rnacentral:rRNA from 1 species
GAUGAACGCUGGCGGCGUGCCUAAUACAUGCAAGUCGAGCGAGCGGACGAGAAGCUUGCUUCUCUGAUGUUAGCGGCGGACGGGUGAGUAACACGUGGAUAACCUACCUAUAAGACUGGGAUAACUUCGGGAAACCGGAGCUAAUACCGGAUAAUAUUUUGAACCGCAUGGUUCAAAAGUGAAAGACGGUCUUGCUGUCACUUAUAGAUGGAUCCGCGCUGCAUUAGCUAGUUGGUAAGGUAACGGCUUACCAAGGCAACGAUGCAUAGCCGACCUGAGAGGGUGAUCGGCCACACUGGAACUGAGACACGGUCCAGACUCCUACGGGAGGCAGCAGUAGGGAAUCUUCCGCAAUGGGUGAAAGCCUGACGGAGCAACGCCGCGUGAGUGAUGAAGGUCUUCGGAUCGUAAAACUCUGUUAUUAGGGAAGAACAUAUGUGUAAGUAACUGUGCACAUCUUGACGGUACCUAAUCAGAAAGCCACGGCUAACUACGUG